GGAGACGAGAGAGAGUGAGGGGGCGAGGGAAACCCGAACCCAUGACUUCCGCGUAUUUUCCUCUCUCUGGUCUCGCAUCUCAAACCACCCAGAGUGGUAUAAAAAGACCUGGGUUAUGCUGCUUCAUUUCAAACUCGGAGCAGGAACUUAAUAGCCUACAUGCAGCCCAAUCCAGUUCGAUUUGGAUAUUAAAACAUUUACCGGUAAACCGAAGUCAUAACGUGGUUCGCCAACGUCCGAAGAAAGAUUUUACAUGUUUUGGGGUCCUCUGGUUUUCUUGCAGUGGACAGUUCUUCUGGCCCGGUUCUUCUGACCGACUCGUAAAAGGAGAAUUCUGUAAAGCUUCUGGGAUCGAAACACUCCAGUUUUCUUCUGGAACUCUGUGUGUUCACCGAGAACCCGAGAUGGAUGUGGAAUCUCAGACGAGCGCACGCCCCCGUGGACGGUGCCUGGACGUUUUCUUGGUCGGUUCUGUCGGUUUGCUAUUCCUGGCGGUGGCGACAGUUGUUGUCAUGGGAACUUUGGCUCUUGUGGAGCUACGGUCAGAGAUCGGGGUUAAACCUUAUGUUGUGGAUAUGCAAGGUACAUCGGAGACGCACCAUGGCGUGCCCCGUUCCAUGCCCGCGUAUAAGAUGCAGAACUUGGCCUAUAUGCAACUCAACUCCGCCACGAUGGAGAACAGCACAAUGUCCUGGUCCCAGGUCGAACAUGGACAGGAGUCCUCUGUUGGAGAUCUG